AAGACAUUAGCUCAGUUGGUAGAGCGGCAGAUAUAUCUAUCUGAGGGUCGCAAGUUCGAUUCUUGCAUGCCAUUC
rnacentral:tRNA from 1 species